UAUUUUAAGUAUUUAUUUUUUAGAAAUCACUGUAUAAACAUAGCUUGCACGAAUUCUGAUAGUUAUAAUUGAAGAAUUACAGAUGACUUUGGAUUUAUUGCGUUUGGACCAAAAAUCGACGAUUUUCUGAAAAUCACUGUACAAACAUGGCUUGCACGAAUUCUGAUAUUUAUAUUCGAGAAAUUACUGAUUAUUUUGGAUUUAUUGCGUUUGGACGGGAAAUUGACGAUUUUCCGAAAGAGGGUACUUCCUUAAAGUAUUCGAAUAGACUUUAUUUUUUUAAGAACAUGAUUUUUAGUAAUUUUUUCACGGAAAUCACUGUAUAAAUAUGGCUUGCACAAAUCCUAAUGGUAAUAUUAGAGAAAUUACUGAAUAUUUUAGAUUCAUUGCGUUUGGACCAAAAAUCGACGAUUUUCCAGAAAUCACUGUAUAAACAUGGCUUGCACAAAUUCUGAUGGUUAUAUUGGAGAAAUUACAGAUUAUUUGGGAAUCAUUGCGUUUGGACCGAAAAUCGACGAUUUUCCAGAAAUCACGAUAUAAACAUGGCUUGCACAAUCUCUGAUGG